AUUGAACGCUGGCGGCAGGCUUAACACAUGCAAGUCGAGCGGGGGAAGGUAGCUUGCUACUGGACCUAGCGGCGGACGGGUGAGUAAUGCUUAGGAAUCUGCCUAUUAGUGGGGGACAACAUCUCGAAAGGGAUGCUAAUACCGCAUACGUCCUACGGGAGAAAGCAGGGGAUCUUCGGACCUUGCGCUCAUAGAUGAGCCUAAGUCGGAUUCGCUAGUUGGUGGGGUAAAGGACUACCAAGGCGACGAUCUGUAGCGGGUCUGAGAGGAUGAUCCGCCACACUGGGACUGAGACACGGCCCAGACUCCUAAGGGAGGCAGCAGUGGGGAAUAUUGGACAAUGGGGGGAACCCUGAUCCAGCCAUGCCGCGUGUGUGAAGAAGGCCUUAUGGUUGUAAAGCACUUUAAGCGAGGAGGAGGCUACUCUAGUUAAUACCUAGGGAUAGUGGACGUUACUCGCAGAAUAAGCACCGGCUAACUCUGUGCCAGCCGCCGCAGUAA
rnacentral:rRNA from 1 species